rnacentral:rRNA from 1 species
GACGAACGCUGGCGGCGUGCUUAACACAUGCAAGUCGAACGGAAAGGCGCUGCUUUUGUGGGGUGCUUGAGUGGCGAACGGGUGAGUAACACGUGAGUAACCUGCCCUUGACUUUGGGAUAACUUCAGGAAACUGGGGAUCAUAUCGGAUAGGAGCUCCUGCUGCGUGGUGGGGGUUGGAAAGUUUCGGCGGUUGGGGCUGGACUCGCGGCUUAUCAGCUUGUUGGUGGGGUAGUGGAUUACCAAGUCUUCGACGGGUAGGCGGCCUGAGAGGGUGGCCGGGCACAAUGGGCCUGAGAGAGGGACCAGACUGCAACGGUAGGCAACAGUGGGAAAUAUGACACAACAGGGGGAAGCGUGAUGCAGCAACGCCGCGUGCGUGAUGACGGCCUUCGGGGUGUGAACCGCUUUCGCCUGAUACGAAGCGUGAGUGACGGUAAUGGGUAAAGAAGCACCGGCUAACUACGUG